GAUGAAGAACGUAGCGAAAUGCGAUACUUGGUGUGAAUUGCAGAAUCCCGCGAAUCAUCGAGUUUUUGAACGCAAGUUGCGCCCGAAGCCAUUCGGCCGAGGGCACGUCUGCCUGGGUGUCACGCAUCGUUGCCCCCCCCAAACUUCGGUUCGGGCGGGGCGGAAGUUGGCCUCCCGUGCGUGCCUGCGCGCGCGGUUAGCCCAAAAGCGAGUCCUCGGCGACGAGCGCCACGACAAUCGGUGGUUUGUUUACCCUCGUUCCUCGUCGUGCGUGCCCCGUCGCCCGAACGCGCUCUUGCGACCCUCACGCGUCGCCUCGGCGGCGCUCCCAACGCGACCCCAGGUCAGGCGGGACUACCCGCUGAGUUUAAGCAUAUCAAUAAGCGGAGGA
rnacentral:misc_RNA from 1 species